rnacentral:rRNA from 1 species
UACGUAGGGGGCUAGCGUUGUCCGGAAUCAUUGGGCGUAAAGAGCUCGUAGGCGGUUCAGCAAGUCGGCUGUGAAAUUCCGAGGCUCAACCUCGGAACUGCAGUCGAUACUGCUGUGACUCGAGUCCGGUAGAGGAGAAUGGAAUUCCCGGUGUAGCGGUGAAAUGCGCAGAUAUCGGGAGGAACACCAGUAGCGAAGGCGGUUCUCUGGGCCGGUACUGACGCUGAGGAGCGAAAGCGUGGGGAGCAAACAGG